rnacentral:rRNA from 1 species
GCGAGUCAUUGUAGCAUACAAGGCAUACGGCUCAGUAACGCGUAGUCCACCUAACCUAUGGACGGGAAUAACCUCGGGAAACUGAGAAUAAUGCCCGAUAGAACAUUAUGCCUGGAAUGGUUUAUGUUCCAAAUGAUUUAUCGCCGUAGGAUGGGACUGCGGCCUAUCAGUUUGUUGGUGAGGUAAUGGCCCACCAAGACUAUUACAGGUACGGGCUCUGAGAGGAGUAGCCCGGAGAUGGGUACUGAGACACGGACCCAGGCCCUAUGGGGCGCAGCAGGCGAGAAAACUUUGCAAUGUGCGAAAGCACGACAAGGUUAAUCCGAGUGGUUUCUGCUAAAGAAACCUUUUGUCAGCCCUAGAAACACUGAUGAAUAAGGGGUGGGCAAGUUCUGGUGUCAGCCGCCGCGGUAAAACCAGCACCUCAAGUGGUCAGGAUGAUUAUUGGGCCUAAAGCAUCCGUAGCCGGCUCUGUAAGUUUUCGGUUAAAUCUGUACGCUCAACGUACAGGCUGCCGGGAAUACUGCAGAGCUAGGGAGUGGGAGAGGUAGACGGUACUCGGUAGGAAGGGG